ACCCGUGACGGGGCUCGGAACCACAUCGGUUCCGGGCCCCGUUUUCUACGCGCUGCGACACGCGCGGACCCGGCCGGGAGGCACGACCUCCUCCGCCGGACCGGCUG
rnacentral:sRNA from 1 species